UACGGAGGAUGCGAGCGUUAUCCGGAUUUAUUGGGUUUAAAGGGUGCGUAGGCGGACUGUCAAGUCAGCGGUAAAAUUGAGAGGCUCAACCUCUUCCCGCCGUUGAAACUGGUGGUCUUGAGUGGAUGAGAAGUACGCGGAAUGCGUAGUGUAGCGGUGAAAUGCAUAGAUAUCACGCAGAACUCCGAUUGCGAAGGCAGCGUACCGGCAUCCAACUGACGCUGAGGCACGAAAGCGUGGGGAUCAAACAGG
rnacentral:rRNA from 1 species